rnacentral:SRP_RNA from 1 species
GGGUAAGUCUUGUGCGACCAGCUCCCUAAGAAUCCCCCAGGACAGGAAUGUAGCAAGGGUAUUAGGUUGUAGCGGUGCGAUAUAAGUAGCUUACCCUUU